rnacentral:rRNA from 1 species
ACUCCUGCGGGAGGCAGCAGUGGGGAAUAUUGGACAAUGGGCGCAAGCCUGAUCCAGCCAUGCCGCGUGAGUGAUGAAGGCCCUAGGGUUGUAAAGCUCUUUCACCGGUGAAGAUAAUGACGGUAACCGGAGAAGAAGCCCCGGCUAACUUCGUGCCAGCAGCCGCGGUAAUACGAAGGGGGCUAGCGUUGUUCGGAUUUACUGGGCGUAAAGCGCACGUAGGCGGACUAUUAAGUCAGGGGUGAAAUCCCGGGGCUCAACCCCGGAACUGCCUUUGAUACUGGUAGUCUUGAGUUCGAGAGAGGUGAGUGGAAUUCCGAGUGUAGAGGUGAAAUUCGUAGAUAUUCGGAGGAACACCAGUGGCGAAGGCGGCUCACUGGCUCGAUACUGACGCUGAGGUGCGAAAGCGUGGGGAGCAAACAGGAUUAGAAACCCUGGUAGUCCCAU